CGAAGCUGUGCCAGUGGAAAUGGGAGAAAGCAGAGGAGGGAACAGGGAUUUCUUUAUCGCUGCCCGGAGCUCCCCCAAGUCGCCAGCCUGGCCGUUCCUUCUAGGGGCGCGGGCACCAUUGCAUCCCCCAGGGCUGCGGCCCCGCCCCGCCCGGCGCUGAGUUACUUACGUGUCCUGAAAUCCCAUGUUCUUUUCCAACUGUGGACGUGAGUCCUGCGUGCUAUUGAGUUUGCCAGCUGCAUUCAAAUGCAGGGAGCUGGUUUCGUGUAGACUAGAUCCUGCAAGAGUCAUUCCAAGGGAGACGAAUAUCGGGCAGUCUUCAUGCCACAGCAGCUGUUGAAGGCAUCUUCAACCACUUAAACAGAGAGUGAAACAAUACUAGAGUACGUGGUUGCAUUUGUAAUCAGGGUACCUGCUGAACUGAAGUACUCAUGUUUUAAUUGAAGGAAACAUAGUUAAAGAAAGAUAAAUGAUACAAAACAUUCCUUUUUGAAUCCUAUGUUCCUUCCAACUUUAUCACUGGAAAGGGCUGAGAAAUACUUCAUGAGGGAGUGAAGAGAAGCAGCAUGGAAGAAAAAGAUAUGGAUGCAUGGGA